AGAGGAGGAAUCUUGGGACUGGGGGUUGAGGGAGACUGACCGGAUAGAGACAUCGCUGUAGAAUGUAGGGGGGCCCUGGGGCCAGUCGAGGCCCUAGAAGAUCCAGAUAUUACAUCGUAAGGCUGGCAGUGGGGCCUUGUUAAAGAGAGGGCGACUGAAAUAUCGACGGCGACUGGCUUUACACGUUAUUUACAAGCGUGAAUAAAACUGUGUUGGAUCCUGACCUCAAUUCAGGAAUAAACGUACGAAAGGACAGGAUGUAUUGCGGAAGGUGAUUUUGAUUUGUAGAAACAGAUCGAAUGGAUGAAGUUUGCCUGGGGACCAUGUUACCAGCCACACCUGCUUUAUCUCUUGAAAGAUUGAGGUUAGGUCUGCGCUCUUCGUCGACGUCCGCCGACGCCGUCCCAAGGGCGUUUGAAUCAAGACUGAAGACUGAGAUGGGUUAUGAUACAGGAUCCAUGGUCAGUGGCCCGUUGAAGAGCAGUGGCAGAUCUGAGAACUGAUUGUCAGGAGUUACCUUACGGAAGAUGGCGCGUAUCUACAGCCACGCUGCUCUUGAUCGCAUCUGCCUUGCGAACCUACCUGGGCUGGACGCCAUCGACGAAAUGAUAAAAGAUUCAUUGCCAUAGGAUGCUUACUCUUUUUAUCUCUAUCUAUAUCUGAGGCUCCACUUAGUCCUUCUGGAUCUUCUCUGUCGCUCCUAUCUGCUCCGAGUUCCUGAGCUCUGCUUGCCGAUGAAAGCGAUUUAACGCCGCCGGUACCGAUGCGUUGAUUUCACUAACGAAGCCAGC